GACGAACGCUGGCGGCGUGCUUAACACAUGCAAGUCGAGCGGUAAGGCCUUUCGGGGUACACGAGCGGCGAACGGGUGAGUAACACGUGGGUGAUCUGCCCUGCACUCUGGGAUAAGCCUGGGAAACUGGGUCUAAUACUGGAUAUGACCUCAGCAUGCAUGUGCUGGGGUGGAAAGCUUUUGUGGUGCAGGAUGGGCCCGCGGCCUAUCAGCUUGUUGGUGGGGUAAUGGCCUACCAAGGCGACGACGGGUAGCCGACCUGAGAGGGUGACCGGCCACACUGGGACUGAGACACGGCCCAGACUCCUACGGGAGGCAGCAGUGGGGAAUAUUGCACAAUGGGCGGAAGCCUGAUGCAGCGACGCCGCGUGAGGGAUGAAGGCCUUCGGGUUGUAAACCUCUUUCAGCAGGGACGAAGCGUGAGUGACGGUACCUGCAGAAGAAGCACCGGCUAACUACGUGCCAGCCGCCGCAGUAA
rnacentral:rRNA from 1 species